UGCAUGAUGAUUGACGUAACAUCACAGACUUUGAUGACCCCAUGAGUAAGAAGCAUUUGUCGCCCCAGACUGACUU
rfam:Trypanosoma congolense IL3000, WGS project CAEQ01000000 data, contig: 2149